UGGGGAAUUUUGGACAAUGGGCGAAAGCCUGAUCCAGCAAUGCCGCGUGUGUGAAGAAGGCCUUCGGGUUGUAAAGCACUUUUGUCCGGAAAGAAAUCCUUGGCUCUAAUACAGUCGGGGGAUGACGGUACCGGAAGAAUAAGCACCGGCUAACUACGUGCCAGCAGCCGCGGUAAUACGUAGGGUGCAAGCGUUAAUCGGAAUUACUGGGCGUAAAGCGUGCGCAGGCGGUUUGCUAAGACCGAUGUGAAAUCCCCGGGCUCAACCUGGGAACUGCAUUGGUGACUGGCAGGCUAGAGUAUGGCAGAGGGGGGUAGAAUUCCACGUGUAGCAGUGAAAUGCGUAGAGACGUGGAGGAAUACCGAUGGCGAAGGCAGCCCCCUGGGCCAAUACUGACGCUCAUGCACGAAAGCGUGGGGAGCAAACAGGAUUAGAUACCCUGGUAGUCCACGCCCUAAACGAUGUCAACUAGUUGUUGGGGAUUCAUUUCCUUAGUAACGUAGCUAACGCGUGAAGUUGACCGCCUGGGGAGUACGGUCGCAAGAUUAAAACUUAAAUGAAUUGACGGGGUCAUAGCUG
rnacentral:rRNA from 1 species